UGGGGAAUAUUGCGCAAUGGGGGAAACCCUGACGCAGCAACGCCGCGUGAGUGAUGAAGGCCUUCGGGUUGUAAAGCUCUUUCGGCCGGGAAGAAGGGCACUUGUGCUAACAGUUCAAGUGUUUGAUGGUACCGGAAGAAGAAGCACCGGCUAACUUCGUGCCAGCAGCCGCGGUAAUACGAAGGGUGCGAGCGUUGUUCGGAAUUAUUGGGCGUAAAGGGUUCGUAGGUGGGAACGUAAGUCGAGUGUGAAAUCUCCAAGCUUAACUUGGAACGUGCAUUCGAAACUGCAUUUCUUGAAUAUUGGAGAGGGAAGUAGAAUUCCAGGUGUAGGAGUGACAUCCGUAGAGAUCUGGAGGAAUACCGGAGGCGAAAGCGACUUCCUGGCCAAAUAUUGACACUGAGGAACGAAAGCGUGGGGAGCAAACAGG
rnacentral:rRNA from 1 species